CAGACGACAUCAUAUUCAGUCCAAAAUCCUAUCAAACGAAACUCGCAUCAAGAAUAACAUAUAAUGGACGACAAAUAUCUGGAGUAUCGGAUCUUGCUUUCACAAAAAGUACAGCAUAUGACGCGGUGGCACGUGAAACGGAUGCCAUUCACUACGUGUUACAAGACUCCACGAGUACGUGCGUGCACGGGUCUAUGCGUUACCAACAGUUCGUACACUCCGACCUCACCGAUGAAUUCAUUUCCGCCGUUUGUGGUCUUCCGGUGAAGUACAUCGCCAGCAACUAUGAGCAGUUU